CAUCGGCCGCCGCUCUCGGCUCCUGUGGCCCGUGACAACGCAAUUGGGGGAAAUCGGUCAUUCCCCAUCCUCGCUCGGGCACACAAGCCGGAGCUGGCUUCCAGGACCAGAAUUUGUCACAGUCUAAGAUGUGCACAAGGAAGAUGCUUUAAGUGUGGUUUGUUGUUUUGUUGGGGGUUUUCUCCCCCCAUAAGGUAUCUGUGAUUUGCAGCUUUUCUCAUGUGAGGUGUCAAACGCCCUUAGCUGGCUCAUCGUCCAACCUGCUUCACCUUUAGUCUGCUUUGUAAAAAUCAAGAUUGAUGGGAUGAAUUUCCAGUGCCAAAAGAAGGAGCACCUUAGAAAAGAAGCCCAGAAACAUGAUGCAACAUCUGAACACGUCUCUUAGUCAGCAUUUACUGCUGGCAACAUAAUAGCAGUGUCCUAUCAUCUUGUCCUCCAAAACUGACGAGCUGCUGCCAGAUGAUUGAGGAUGGGGACACACACAAACACUUCCCUGGCAGAAAUUACUGGCUCAGGUGCUUGCAUCCUUCAUGAAGGAAGCCCCAUUUUUUUGAGAUGUGCCCCUUUCUGAUAAACAUCUUCUAUCAUUGCCUCGGAUCAUACACAGUGAACAGUAAAUUUUGACAGCUGUCACUCAUUCUUUAGCAAUUCCAACACUUAGCAAGGAAUUAUGGAAAUGGCAAAAGUGGAAAGUUUUGACAACUGAGCCACAGGUGAGAGAUCAGAAGUUGCUGCUUCUUGUUACAGCCAAAAAAAGAUUGUGAUAAUUUAUAUGCACAGAUUUUUCUGGUUAUCAGGAUGUACGUGUACAUCUAGAAAUAACCAGCAAGUUUGUUGCCAUGUGAAAAUCAAGUCAAUAUUAUAAAUACCUGAUAAAUUUAAAAACACAGCACACUUAAGGCCUGAUUCCCCUUCAAGACAGAACCAUGGGUGUGGAUCCCUCUCAAAAAUGUCAGAAGAAAAGACAUGAAAUUAUGCAAGAAAUAAAAUUAGGCAACUCUUUGCUGGGAAUAAAUAUAUUCCAACUGGGACUAGAACAAUAUUUUACCACCUUCUAAACAGAACAUUACUGGUAGGUGAGGACCCUUCUGCCUGGGAAUGAAACUCCACACAUCCACCAUCUCAAAAAACUGGAACCUUUUUCCCAGAAAUCCUUGCACAGACACAUUGCUGACACAUUUACUCACAGCUGCUAGAGCCAUACCUGGGCCCUUUCAGGGUUUUUUAAAAGUUUCAGGGCUGUACAGCUGCUCUCUGGCCCUUCAGAGCCAUGCAGGCACUGCUUGCACGGUCUUGCUAAGAGUCCAAGGACUUGGGAACAUCUUGAAGCAGCAGAGAAAUAAUCUGCUCCCACAGCUCAGGUUUCAAAGGUUCACCCUGCUUUGUACCAAACAGAAGUGAGCAACAGCACUGAAAGCUGCUAUAGCUCCUGCUCAUGAAAUUCACUGGCCUCCUCUAUUAAGGGAGGGAAAAGCAAACACUUCAAAUGCAAACAAUUAAAACAAGAAACAAUUAAAAACCUCCAAAGCACUGAAUAAACAAAGGACAACAAAUAACACCUGACAAGCAAAAUACAUCUUUUCUAGUCCUGCUUAUUCUGGUUGUCCUUUUUUUAUUUUAGCUGAUCUCUGAUCUAUCUCAAGCCUUCACCUAACUUUUCAUGCUUAUUCUGUUUAUUAUAAUCACACAGGCCCAAGAUGCUUCUUCCUUCCCAAAUCUUUUCUUUUUAAUAAAUUGCUGAUUUCAUCAAUCCCUGACCAUCAAUAUUCCCUAUUUCCAUCUCUGUCCUGUUCUCCGGGGUAAGUAUCUGGGGUUUCAGUUGUUUAUGUUGCUAUUUAUAUGAAUCUCUGCUAUGUAGUAAUAACCAGUGCUGCUUAUUUACUCAUUGUUUUAUUCUUCCAUUUGGGAAAAAUCUCCAAGGAGUUGUUCCUGUAUAAAACAGCAAAUACCAACUCAAGAAGCAGGCUAUGGAUUUGAGAGACUUUCUGGGAAACUUGCGAACUAGAAGCCAGUGAACAAAUGAAACUGAUUCCUGUGCAUUCUACUGCUUUUCUGCCUUUUGCUGGCCCUUCACACGAGGAGCUAACAAGAAAGCCAAGAGAAACCCAAACACUAUUUGUAUGAAUUUAUUAGCAGGAAGCCAAUUUUUGCUCAGUAUUACAACCGUGUAUUUUGGAUUUAACAGAACAUUCCUCAAACUGAAGGCCAGC